rnacentral:rRNA from 1 species
GACGAACGCUGGCGGCGUGCCUAAUACAUGCAAGUAGAACGCUGAAGGAGGAGCUUGCUCUUCUGGAUGAGUUGCGAACGGGUGAGUAACGCGUAGGUAACCUGCCUGGUAGCGGGGGAUAACUAUUGGAAACGAUAGCUAAUACCGCAUAAGAGUAGAUGUUGCAUGACAUUUACUUAAAAGGUGCAAUUGCAUCACUACCAGAUGGACCUGCGUUGUAUUCGCUAGUUGGUGGGGUAACGGCUUACCAAGGCGACGAUACAUAGCCGACCUGAGAGGGGGAUCGGCCACACUGGGACUGAGACACGGCCCAGACUCCUACGGGAGGCAGCAGUAGGGAAUCUUCGGCAAUGGACGGAAGUCUGACCGAGCAACGCCGCGUGAGUGAAGAAGGUUUUCGGAUCGUAAAGCUCUGUUGUAAGAGAAGAACGAGUGUGAGAGUGGAAAGUUCACACUGUGACGGUAUCUUACCAGAAAGGGACGGCUAACUACGUG